AUUACGGGAGGCAGCAGUGGGGAAUAUUGCACAAUGGGGGAAACCCUGAUGCAGCAACGCCGCGUGAGUGAUGACGGCCUUCGGGUUGUAAAGCUCUGUCUUCGGGGACGAUAAUGACGGUACCCGAGGAGGAAGCCACGGCUAACUACGUGCCAGCAGCCGCGGUAAUAAU
rnacentral:rRNA from 1 species